CCAGACUCCUACGGGAGGCAGCAGUGGGGGAUAUUGCACAAUGGGGGGAACCCUGAUGCAGCGACGCCGCGUGAGUGAAGAAGUAUCUCGGUACGUAAAGCUCUAUCAGCAGGGAAGAAAAUGACGGUACCUGGCUAAGAAGCCCCGGCUGACUACGUGCCAGCAGCCGCGGUAAUACGUAGGGGGCAAGCGUUAUCCGGAUUUACUGGGUGUAAAGGGAGCGUAGACGGCAGCACAAGUCUGGAGUGAAAUCCCGGGGCUUAACCCCGGAACUGCUUUGGAAACUGUGCGGCUGGAGUGCAGGAGGGGUAAGCGGAAUUCCUAGUGUAGCGGUGAAAUGCGUAGAUAUUAGGAGGAACACCAGUGGCGAAGGCGGCUUACUGGACUGUAACUGACGUUGAGGCUCGAAAGCGUGGGGAGCAAACAGGAUUAGAUACCCGGGUA
rnacentral:rRNA from 1 species